rnacentral:tRNA from 1 species
UUCUUUGGCACAAUAGGCAGCGUGUCAGUCUCGCAAGCUGAAGGUCCUGAGUUUGAUCCUCCGAAGGA